rnacentral:rRNA from 1 species
AACGUAGGUACCGAGCGUUAUCCGGAUUUACUGGGCGUAAAGCGCGUUCAGGCGGUUUGGCAAGUCGGGCAUGAAAUCUCUCGGCUCAACCGGGAGAGGUUGUCCGAUACUUCCAGACUUGAGGGCAGUAGAGGGUGGUGGAAUUCCGGGUGUAGUGGUGAAAUGCGUAGAUAUCCGGAGGAACACCAGUGGCGAAAGCGGCCACCUGGACAGUUACUGACGCUCAGGCACGAAAGCGUGGGGAGCAAAAGGG